GGGCUGCAUACCGUGACCUGAGGAUCUCGCGGCUUCCGCCCUUGCAGUUUCAUUCACUUUACAGAGAAAGGCUAUUUUGAAGAUGCCCCUGUAAUAAGGAUUUACUCCUGGCAGUGUUCGGGGAAGGGAGAGCUUUACAAACGCAACUAGCUGUAAGAUGUCUCAGCAUUACCAGGACCAAAGAGAAGUUGGGUCUGAAUUCCUUCUGCUGAGGCUACAGUUCAUUGGAUUUGUAGGAGCACCGAGAUUUUUCCAAACUGCCUUAAAGAGGAGAAACAAAGCCCUUUCUAGAUGGACUUUUUCUAUUUUCUACUGUCAUCAAGUCUCAGUGACACUACAGCUGAGGAACCGGAUGUCCUUCAACGUUCAGGCAGGGGCUGCUGUUGACUGUCUUAGCCUCUUCCUUCGCUGCCUCCCACCCCCCGACCUCAGAACUGUCAUCAUAUUUUCACGAAUAAU